rnacentral:tRNA from 1 species
GUUAUUUAGUAUAUGAGUACGGCCAAUUUCCCAUUUGUCAGGUUGAUGGCUAGU